CGAGGGGUGCAAGCGUUGCUCGGAAUUAUUGGGCGUAAAGGGUAGGUAGGUGGUCUUAUUUGUCUGGGGUGAAAUCCUUGAGCUUAACUCGAGAAGUGCCCUAGAAACGGUAAGACUAGAGUCCUGGAGAGGGUCGUGGAAUUCCCGGUGUAGCGGUGAAAUGCGUAGAGAUCGGGAGGAACACCAGAGGCGAAGGCGGCGACCUGGACAGGUACUGACACUAAACUACGAAAGCGUGGGGAGCAAACAGGAUUAGAUACCCUGGUAGUCCACGCUGUAAACGAUGAGUACUAGGCUUGGUGGGUCUUGACCCCCGCUGAGCCGGAGCUAACGCACUAAGUACUCCGCCUGGGAAGUACGGUCGCAAGACUA
rnacentral:rRNA from 1 species